rnacentral:rRNA from 1 species
UACGUAGGGGGCAAGCGUUGUCCGGAAUUAUUGGGCGUAAAGCGCGCGCAGGCGGUGCGUUAAGUCGGAUGUGAAAGGCCACGGCUCAACCGUAGAGCUGGAUCCGAAACUGGAGGACUUGAGUGCAGGAGAGGCGAGUAGAAUUCCCGGUGUAGCGGUGGAAUGCGUAGAUAUAUGGAGGAACACCAGUGGCGAAGGCGGCUUUCUGGCCUGUAACUGACGCUGAGGCGCGAAAGCGUGGGGAGCAAACAGG